CGAUACAGGGUGAUAGCCCCGUAACCGACGCUUCAUCGAGCGUGAAAUCGAGUAGGGCGGGACACGUGAUAUCCUGUCUGAAUAUGGGGGGACCAUCCUCCAAGGCUAAAUACUCCUGACUGACCGAUAGUGAACCAGUACCGUGAGGGAAAGGCGAAAAGAACCCCUGUGAGGGGAGUGAAAUAGAACCUGAAACCGUGUACGUACAAGCAGUAGGAGCACCUUCGUGGUGUGACUGCGUACCUUUUGUAUAAUGGGUCAGCGACUUAUAUUCAGUGGCAAGGUUAACCGUAUAGGGGAGCCGUAGCGAAAGCGAGUCUUAACUGGGCGCUCAGUCUCUGGAUAUAGACCCGAAACCGGGUGAUCUAGCCAUGGGCAGGUUGAAGGUUGAGUAACAUCAACUGGAGGACCGAACCGACUAAUGUUGAAAAAUUAGCGGAUGACUUGUGGCUAGGGGUGAAAGGCCAAUCAAACUCGGAGAUAGCUGGUUCUCCCCGAAAGCUAUUUAGGUAGCGCCUCGGACGAAUACUACUGGGGGUAGAGCACUGUUAAGGCUAGGGGGUCAUCCCGACUUACCAACCCUUUGCAAACUCCGAAUACCAGUAAGUACUAUCCGGGAGACACACGGCGGGUGCUAACGUCCGUCGUGGAGAGGGAAACAACCCAGACCGCCAGCUAAGGUCCCAAAGUAUUGCUAAGUGGGAAACGAUGUGGGAAGGCUCAGACAGCUAGGAUGUUGGCUUAGAAGCAGCCAUCAUUUAAAGAAAGCGUAAUAGCUCACUAGUCGAGUCGGCCUGCGCGGAAGAUGUAACGGGGCUAAGCAAUACACCGAAGCUGCGGCAAUAUCUUUUAGAUAUUGGGUAGGGGAGCGUUCUGUAAGCCGUUGAAGGUGAAUCGUAAGGUUUGCUGGAGGUAUCAGAAGUGCGAAUGCUGACAUGAGUAACGACAAAGGGGGUGAAAAACCUCCUCGCCGGAAGACCAAGGGUUCCUGUCCAACGUUAAUCGGGGCAGGGUGAGUCGACCCCUAAGGUGAGGCCGAAAGGCGUAAUCGAUGGGAAACGGGUUAAUAUUCCCGUACUUCUGACUAUUGCGAUGGGGGGACGGAGAAGGCUAGGUGGGCCAGGCGACGGUUGUCCUGGUUCAAGUGCGUAGGCUUGAGAGUUAGGUAAAUCCGGCUCUCUCUAAGGCUGAGACACGACGUCGAGCUGCUACGGCAGUGAAGUCAUUGAUGCCAUGCUUCCAGGAAAAGCCUCUAAGCUUCAGAUAGUCAGGAAUCGUACCCCAAACCGACACAGGUGGUCGGGUAGAGAAUACCAAGGCGCUUGAGAGAACUCGGGUGAAGGAACUAGGCAAAAUGGUACCGUAACUUCGGGAGAAGGUACGCUCUUGAUGGUGAAGUCCCUCGCGGAUGGAGCUGACGAGAGUCGCAGAUACCAGGUGGCUGCAACUGUUUAUUAAAAACACAGCACUGUGCAAAAUCGCAAGAUGACGUAUACGGUGUGACGCCUGCCCGGUGCCGGAAGGUUAAUUGAUGGGGUUAGCGCAAGCGAAGCUCUUGAUCGAAGCCCCGGUAAACGGCGGCCGUAACUAUAACGGUCCUAAGGUAGCGAAAUUCCUUGUCGGGUAAGUUCCGACCUGCACGAAUGGCGUAAUGAUGGCCACGCUGUCUCCACCCGAGACUCAGUGAAAUUGAAAUCGCUGUGAAGAUGCAGUGUACCCGCGGCUAGACGGAAAGACCCCGUGAACCUUUACUACAGCUUGGCACUGAACAUUGAACCUACAUGUGUAGGAUAGGUGGGAGGCUAUGAAGACGUGACGCCAGUUGCGUUGGAGCCGUCCUUGAAAUACCACCCUUGUAUGUUUGAUGUUCUAACUUAGACCCGUUAUCCGGGUUGAGGACAGUGCCUGGUGGGUAGUUUGACUGGGGCGGUCUCCUCCCAAAGAGUAACGGAGGAGCACGAAGGUGGGCUAAUCACGGUUGGACAUCGUGAGGUUAGUGCAAUGGCAUAAGCCCGCUUAACUGCGAGAAUGACGGUUCGAGCAGGUGCGAAAGCAGGUCAUAGUGAUCCGGUGGUUCUGUAUGGAAGGGCCAUCGCUCAACGGAUAAAAGGUACUCCGGGGAUAACAGGCUGAUACCGCCCAAGAGUUCAUAUCGACGGCGGUGUUUGGCACCUCGAUGUCGGCUCAUCACAUCCUGGGGCUGAAGUCGGUCCCAAGGGUAUGGCUGUUCGCCAUUUAAAGUGGUACGCGAGCUGGGUUUAGAACGUCGUGAGACAGUUCGGUCCCUAUCUGCCGUGGGCGUUGGAAGAUUGAAGGGGGCUGCUCCUAGUACGAGAGGACCGGAGUGGACGAACCUCUGGUGUUCGGGUUGUGUCGCCAGACGCAUUGCCCGGUAGCUAAGUUCGGAAUUGAUAAGCGCUGAAAGCAUCUAAGCGCGAAGCGAGCCCUGAGAUGAGUCUUCCCUGAUACUUUAAGUAUCCUAAAGGGUUGUUCGAGACUAGAACGUUGAUAGGCAGGGUGUGUAAGCGUUGUGAGGCGUUGAGCUAACCUGUACUAAUUGCCCGUGAGGCUUAACCA
rnacentral:rRNA from 1 species